UACAGAGGUGGCAAGCGUUGUUCGGAAUUACUGGGCGUAAAGGGCGCGUAGGCGGUCUUUUAAGUUCCGUGUGAAAUCCCUCGGCUCAACUGGGGAACUGCACGGGAAACUGGAGGGCUUGAGUUCGGGAGAGGGAAGCGGAAUUCCAGGUGUAGCGGUGAAAUGCGUAGAUAUCUGGAGGAAUACCGGUGGCGAAGGCGGCAUCCUGGACCGACAUUGACGCUGAGGAGCGAAAGCUAGGGGAGCAAACGGG
rnacentral:rRNA from 1 species